AGUGAACGCUGGCGGUAGGCCUAACACAUGCAAGUCGAACGGCAGCACAGUAAGAGCUUGCUCUUACGGGUGGCGAGUGGCGGACGGGUGAGGAAUACAUCGGAAUCUACUUUUUCGUGGGGGAUAACGUAGGGAAACUUACGCUAAUACCGCAUACGACCUACGGGUGAAAGCAGGGGAUCUUCGGACCUUGCGCGAUUGAAUGAGCCGAUGUGGGAUUAGCUAGUUGGCGGGGUAAAGGCCCACCAAGGCGACGAUCCGUAGCUGGUCUGAGAGGAUGAUCAGCCACACUGGAACUGAGACACGGUCCAGACUCCUACGGGAGGCAGCAGUGGGGAAUAUUGGACAAUGGGCGCAAGCCUGAUCCAGCCAUACCGCGUGGGUGAAGAAGGCCUUCGGGUUGUAAAGCCCUUUUGUUGGGAAAGAAAAGCAGCAGGUUAAUACCCCGCUGUUCUGACGGUACCCAAAGAAUAAGCACCGGCUAACCUCGUG
rnacentral:rRNA from 1 species